rnacentral:rRNA from 1 species
GAUGAACGCUGGCGGCGUGCCUAAUACAUGCAAGUCGAGCGAACAGAUGAGGAGCUUGCUCCUCUGACGUUAGCGGCGGACGGGUGAGUAACACGUGGAUAACCUACCUAUAAGACUGGGAUAACUUCGGGAAACCGGAGCUAAUACCGGAUAAUAUAUUGAACCGCAUGGUUCAAUAGUGAAAGACGGGUUUGCUGUCACUUAUAGAUGGAUCCGCGCCGCAUUAGCUAGUUGGUAAGGUAACGGCUUACCAAGGCAACGAUGCGUAGCCGACCUGAGAGGGUGAUCGGCCACACUGGAACUGGGACACGGUCCAGACGCCUACGGGAGGCAGCAGUAGGGAAUCUUCCGCAAUGGGCGAAAGCCUGACGGAGCAACGCCGCGUGAGUGAUGAAGGUCUUCGGAUCGUAAAACUCUGUUAUUAGGGAAGAACAAAUGUGUAAGUAACUAUGCACGUCUUGACGGUACCUAAUCAGAAAGCCACGGCUAACUACGUG